GCUUGCACCUGAUUGACGAUUUAUCACCAGUGAGUGGCGGACGGGUGAGUAACACGUAGGUAACCUGCCCCGGAGCGGGGGAUAACAUUUGGAAACAGAUGCUAAUACCGCAUAACAACGAAAGCCACAUGGCUUUUGUUUGAAAGAUGGCUUUGGCUAUCACUCUGGGAUGGACCUGCGGUGCAUUAGCUAGUUGGUAAGGUAACGGCUUACCAAGGCGAUGAUGCAUAGCCGAGUUGAGAGACUGAUCGGCCACAAUGGAACUGAGACACGGUCCAUACUCCUACGGGAGGCAGCAGUAGGGAAUCUUCCACAAUGGGCGCAAGCCUGAUGGAGCAACACCGCGUGAGUGAAGAAGGGUUUCGGCUCGUAAAGCUCUGUUGUUGGAGAAGAACGUGCGUGAGAGUAACUGUUCACGCAGUGACGGUAUCCAACCAGAAAGUCACGGCUAACUACGUGCCAGCAGCCGCGGUAAUACGUAGGUGGCAAGCGUUAUCCGGAUUUAUUGGGCGUAAAGCGAGCGCAAGCGGUUGCUUAUGUCUGAUGUGAAAGCCUUCGGCUUAACCGAAGAAGUGCAUCGGAAACCGGGCGACUUGAGUGCAGAAGAGGACAGUGGAACUCCAUGUGUAGCGGUGGAAUGCGUAGAUAUAUGGAAGAACACCAGUGGCGAAGGCGGCUGUCUGGU
rnacentral:rRNA from 1 species